UGAGUAACACGUAUCCAACCUGCCGUCUACUCUUGGACAGCCUUCUGAAAGGAAGAUUAAUACAAGAUGGCAUCAUGAGUCCGCAUGUUCACAUGAUUAAAGGUAUUCCGGUAGACGAUGGGGAUGCGUUCCAUUAGAUAGUAGGCGGGGUAACGGCCCACCUAGUCUUCGAUGGAUAGGGGUUCUGAGAGGAAGGUCCCCCACAUUGGAACUGAGACACGGUCUAA
rnacentral:rRNA from 1 species